UACGUAGGCAGCAAGCGUUGUUCGGAGUUACUGGGCGUAAAGAGUGUGUAGGUGGUCCUCUAAGUUUGGUGUGAAAUCUCCCGGCUCAACUGGGAGGGUGCGCCGAAAACUGGGGGGCUUGAGUGUGGGAGAGGAAAGCGGAAUUCCUGGUGUAGCGGUGAAAUGCGUAGAUAUCAGGAGGAACACCUGCGGUGUAGACGGCUUUCUGGACCACUACUGACACUGAUACACGAAAGCGUGGGGAG
rnacentral:rRNA from 1 species